GUGCUCACUUCAGUAGCACACACACUAAAUUGGAGCAAUCCAGAAAGAUUAACAUGGCCCUUGCACAAGGAUGACUUGUAAAUUCAUGAAGCAUUUCGUGUGUGU
rnacentral:snRNA from 1 species